GGGACGGGAAAGUCUGAGAGACGGGGAGAGCCUGACCCGGCGGGACACAGGCAGAAAGAAACACGCGAGCCAGACAGACGCAGAAGAAACGUGCCUGGUACUGGAUAGGAACUUCAUGGAAUGGAGCUAAUGGGCCGUAGGGCAGGUUUGAGUCGUGCCACCCUGGAGCAGAAGGUGGAGGGUAGGGAUAAGGGGGUGGAGCACCUGAUUCCAAUCUUGCCGCACGGAAGAAGAGUCUGUGAAGAAGUGCGUGAUGACUGUGUGUCCCCCCCACCCAGAAAUUGGCAUUUGGGAGGGGUGGAUAUGGUUGGGACUGGGGAGCCUUGAUCUUACUGCUCUUGGUUGAGUUGGUGUCCAAUAGACAGUUUCAGAGGUUAGAGCAGUGGGAGUCACUGGGGACUGGGGACGGGAGAGGUGGGGGUGGGGGAAGCCAGGCGGGAAUGAGUAGGGAGGCACUGGGAGGAGGGGAGAGGCAAGAGUUAGGGGAAUACCGAGGAAAGUGGCAGGGAUUGGAGGCUCCUGGAGAAAGGGCAAGGCUGAAGGUUGUCCCAUGUAUUUUGGCCAGAUUUGAUUAUGUAAUCGAGAUACAUGAGAUAA